rnacentral:ncRNA from 1 species
CCACGAGGCGCGGUCAACGAGUCGAGUUGUUUGGGAAUGCAGCUCUAAAUGGGAGGUAAAUUUCUUCUAAAGCUAAAUAUUGGCCAGAGACCGAUAGCGCACAAGUAGAGUGAUCGAAAGAUGAAAAGCACUUUGGAAAGAGAGUUAAACAGUACGUGAAAUUGUCGAAGGGGAAGCGCUUGCAACCAGAUCGGAAGAGCGGUUCAGC